UCUGAUUACUGAGAGACACGAAUAUGUAUAGAAGAGGAAAUCUAAGUUUUAGAUUACUGUUGACCUGUGGGAGGAGGCUAUACUAUCAUAGUCUAAUACA